rnacentral:rRNA from 1 species
ACGCACGCUGGCGGCGUGCUUCACACAUGCAAGUCGUACGGAAAGGCCCUGCUUUUGUGGGGUGCUUGAGUGGCGAACGGGUGAGUAACACGUGAGUAACCUGCCCUUGUCUUUGGGAUAACUUCAGGAAACUGGGGCUAAUACCGGAUAGGAUCUCCUGCUGCAUGGUGGGGGUUGGAAAGUUUCGGCGGUUGGGGAUGGACUCGCGGCUUAUCAGCUUGUUGGUGGGGUAGUGGCUUACCAAGGCUUUGACGGGUAGCCGGCCUGAGAGGGUGACCGGCCACAUUGGGACUGAGAUACGGCCCAGACUCCUACGGGAGGCAGCAGUGGGGAAUAUUACACAAUGGGCGGAAGCCUGAUGCAGCAACGCCGCGUGCGGGAUGACGGCCUUCGGGUUGUAAACCGCUUUCGCCUGUGACGAAGCGUGAGUGACGGUAAUGGGUAAAGAAGCACCGGCUAACUACGUG